rnacentral:rRNA from 1 species
CAGCCGCCGCGGUAAUACGGAGGGUGCAAGCGUUAAUCGGAAUUACUGGGCGUAAAGCGUGCGUAGGCGGUUCGUUAAGUCUGUUGUGAAAGCCCUGGGCUCAACCUGGGAAUUGCAGUGGAUACUGGGUCACUAGAGUGUGGUAGAGGAUAGUGGAAUUUCCGGUGUAGCAGUGAAAUGCGUAGAGAUCGGAAGGAACAUCUGUGGCGAAGGCGACUAUCUGGGCCAACACUGACACUGAGGCACGAAAGCGUGGGGAGCAAACAGGAUUAGAUACCCCUGUAGUCCCUGUCUCUUAUAC